UCGGGGUAUUCCACAAAAAAUUACCCUGCGGGAUGAAAUAUUCCUCGGGCUUCGCCCUCGGAAUAUUUGCCCGAGGAAUAUUUCAUCCCGCAGGGUAAUUUUUUGUGGAAUACCCCU
rnacentral:miRNA from 1 species